rnacentral:sRNA from 1 species
GAUUAACCGCGUUAGGGAUAGCAGCGGAAAGCCCACAGUGACGACCUAAAGGAAGGAACGAGGACUUGAAGCGAAGAGCCCGACCCUUU